CGCGUAGGCGGUUUUUUAAGUCUGAUGUGAAAGCCCACGGCUCAACCGUGGAGGGUCAUUGGAAACUGGAAAACUUGAGUGCAGAAGAGGAAAGUGGAAUUCCAUGUGUAGCGGUGAAAUGCGUAGAGAUAUGGAGGAACACCAGUGGCGAAGGCGACUUUCUGGUCUGUAACUGACGCUGAUGUGCGAAAGCGUGGGGAUCAAACA
rnacentral:rRNA from 1 species